GGGUUGUGAGGUUAAGCGAACAAGCGUACACGGUGGAUGCCCUGGCAGUCAGAGGCGAUGAAGGACGUGCUAAUCUGCGAAAAGCGCCGGUAAGGUGAUAUGAACCGUUAUAGCCGGCGAUGUCCGAAUGGGGAAACCCAGUGUGAUUCGUCACACUAUCUCAGCAUGAAUACAUAGUGCUGUGAGGCGAACCGGGGGAACUGAAACAUCUAAGUACCCCGAGGAAAAGAAAUCAACCGAGAUUCCCCCAGUAGCGGCGAGCGAACGGGGAACAGCCCAGAGCCUGAAUCAGCUUGUGUGUCAGUGGAACGGUCUGGAAAGGCCGGCGAUACAGGGUGACAGCCCCGUACACGAAGGCACACAGGCUGUGAGCUCGAUGAGUAGGGCGGGACACGUGAUAUCCUGUCUGAAGAUGGGGGGACCAUCCUCCAAGGCUAAAUACUCCUGACUGACCGAUAGUGAACCAGUACCGUGAGGGAAAGGCGAAAAGAACCCCGGCGAGGGGAGUGAAACAGAACCUGAAACCGUGUACGUACAAGCAGUGGGAGCCUUCGUAAGAGGGUGACUGCGUACCUUUUGUAUAAUGGGUCAGCGACUUAUAUUCUGUAGCAAGGUUAACCGCAUAGGGGAGCCGAAGGGAAACCGAGUCUUAACCGGGCGUUAAGUUGCAGGGUAUAGACCCGAAACCCGGUGAUCUAGCCAUGGGCAGGUUGAAGGUUGGGUAACACUAACUGGAGGACCGAACCGACUAAUGUUGAAAAAUUAGCGGAUGACCUGUGGCUGGGGGUGAAAGGCCAAUCAAACCGGGAGAUAGCUGGUUCUCCCCGAAAGCUAUUUAGGUAGCGCCUCGUGAACUCAUCUUCGGGGGUAGAGCACUGUUUCGGCUAGGGGGCCAUCCCGGCUUACCAACCCGAUGCAAACUACGAAUACCGAAGAAUGUUAUCACGGGAGACACACGGCGGGUGCUAACGUCCGUCGUGAAGAGGGAAACAACCCAGACCGCCAGCUAAGGUCCCAAAGUCAUGGUUAAGUGGGAAACGAUGUGGGAAGGCACAGACAGCCAGGAUGUUGGCUUAGAAGCAGCCAUCAUUUAAAGAAAGCGUAAUAGCUCACUGGUCGAGUCGGCCUGCGCGGAAGAUGUAACGGGGCUAAACCAUGCACCGAAGCUGCGGCAGCGACACUAUGUGUUGUUGGGUAGGGGAGCGUUCUGUAAGCCUGUGAAGGUGUGCUGUGAGGCAUGCUGGAGGUAUCAGAAGUGCGAAUGCUGACAUAAGUAACGAUAAAGCGGGUGAAAAGCCCGCUCGCCGGAAGACCAAGGGUUCCUGUCCAACGUUAAUCGGGGCAGGGUGAGUCGACCCCUAAGGCGAGGCCGAAAGGCGUAGUCGAUGGGAAACAGGUUAAUAUUCCUGUACUUGGUGUUACUGCGAAGGGGGGACGGAGAAGGCUAUGUUGGCCGGGCGACGGUUGUCCCGGUUUAAGCGUGUAGGUGUGUGUUCCAGGUAAAUCCGGUUCACUUUAACACUGAGGCGUGAUGACGAGGCACUACGGUGCUGAAGUAACAAAUGCCCUGCUUCCAGGAAAAGCCUCUAAGCAUCAGGUAACACGAAAUCGUACCCCAAACCGACACAGGUGGUCAGGUAGAGAAUACCAAGGCGCUUGAGAGAACUCGGGUGAAGGAACUAGGCAAAAUGGUGCCGUAACUUCGGGAGAAGGCACGCUGACAUGUAGGUGAAGCCCCUGCGGGUGGAGCUGAAGUCAGUCGAAGAUACCAGCUGGCUGCAACUGUUUAUUAAAAACACAGCACUGUGCAAACACGAAAGUGGACGUAUACGGUGUGACGCCUGCCCGGUGCCGGAAGGUUAAUUGAUGGGGUUAUCGCAAGAGAAGCUCCUGAUCGAAGCCCCGGUAAACGGCGGCCGUAACUAUAACGGUCCUAAGGUAGCGAAAUUCCUUGUCGGGUAAGUUCCGACCUGCACGAAUGGCGUAAUGAUGGCCAGGCUGUCUCCACCCGAGACUCAGUGAAAUUGAACUCGCUGUGAAGAUGCAGUGUACCCGCGGCAAGACGGAAAGACCCCGUGAACCUUUACUACAGCUUGACACUGAACAUUGAGCCUUGAUGUGUAGGAUAGGUGGGAGGCUUUGAAGCGUGGACGCCAGUCUGCGUGGAGCCAACCUUGAAAUACCACCCUUUAAUGUUUGAUGUUCUAACCUGGCGCCAUAAUCUGGCGUGGGGACAGUGUCUGGUGGGUAGUUUGACUGGGGCGGUCUCCUCCCAAAGUGUAACGGAGGAGCACGAAGGUCAGCUAAUCCUGGUCGGACAUCAGGAGGUUAGUGCAAUGGCAUAAGCUGGCUUGACUGCGAGAGUGACGGCUCGAGCAGGUGCGAAAGCAGGUCAUAGUGAUCCGGUGGUUCUGUAUGGAAGGGCCAUCGCUCAACGGAUAAAAGGUACUCCGGGGAUAACAGGCUGAUACCGCCCAAGAGUUCAUAUCGACGGCGGUGUUUGGCACCUCGAUGUCGGCUCAUCACAUCCUGGGGCUGAAGUAGGUCCCAAGGGUAUGGCUGUUCGCCAUUUAAAGUGGUACGCGAGCUGGGUUUAGAACGUCGUGAGACAGUUCGGUCCCUAUCUGCCGUGGGCGCUGGAGAAUUGAGGGGGGCUGCUCCCAGUACGAGAGGACCGGAGUGGACGCAUCACUGGUGUUCGGGUUGUCAUGCCAAUGGCACUGCCCGGUAGCUAAAUGCGGAAGAGAUAAGUGCUGAAAGCAUCUAAGCACGAAACUUGCCCCGAGAUGAGUUCUCCCUGAGACUAUAAGUCUCCUGAAGGAACGUUGAAGACGACGACGUUGAUAGGCCGGGUGUGUAAGCGCAGCGAUGCGUUGAGCUAACCGGUACUAAUGAACCGUGAGGCUUAACCUUACAACGCCAAAGAAGU
rnacentral:rRNA from 1 species